rnacentral:rRNA from 1 species
AGAGUUUGAUCCUGGCUCAGGACGAACGCUGGCGGCGUGCUUAACACAUGCAAGUCACGGGGGCUCGCAAGGGCAGCCGGCGAACGGGUGCGUAACACGUGAGCAACCUGCCGAUCUGAGGGGGAUAGCCGGCCCAACGGCCGGGUAAUACCGCAUACGUUCUCGAGGGGGAGUCCUCUUGAGAAGAAACCUCCGGGGCAGAUCGAGGGGCUCGCGGCCUAUCAGCUAGUUGGCGGUGUAAUGGACCACCAAGGCUAUGACGGGUAGCUGGUCUGAGAGGAUGGCCAGCCACAUUGGGACUGAGAGACGGCCCAGACUCCUACGGGAGGCAGCAGUGGGGAAUCUUGCGCAAUGGCCGAAAGGCUGACGCAGCGACGCCGCGUGUGGGAUGAAGCAUUUCGGUGUGUAAACCACUGUUGCCCGGGACGAACAUCCUCUUUCGAGAGGACUGACGGUACCGGGUGAGGAAGCACCGGCUAACUCCGUGCCAGCAGCCGCGGUAAUUC